AUGAACGCUAGCGGCAGGCUUAAUACAUGCAAGUCGUGGGGCAGCAGGUCCGUAGCAAUACGGAUGCUGGCGACCGGCAAACGGGUGCGUAACACGUACGCAACCUUCCUUCAGGCGGGGAAUAGCCCGGGGAAACCCGGAUUAAUACCCCAUAAAAUCUUGGAAUGGCAUCAUUCUAUUAUUAAAGCUUCGGCACCUGAUGAUGGGCGUGCGGCUGAUUAGGUAGUUGGCGGGGGGUAACGGCCCACCAAGCCAGCGAUCAGUAGCUGAUGUGAGAGCAUGAUCAGCCACACGGGCACUGAGACACGGGCCCGACUCCUACGGGAGGCAGCAGUAAGGAAUAUUGGUCAAUGGACGAAAGUCUGAACCAGCCAUGCCGCGUGGAGGAUGAAGGUCCUCUGGAUUGUAAACUUCUUUUAUUUGGGACGAAAAAGGGAAAUUCUUUUCCACUUGACGGUACCAGAUGAAUAAGCACCGGCUAACUCCGUGCCAGCAGCCGCGGUAAUACGGAGGGUGCAAGCGUUAUCCGGAUUCACUGGGUUUAAAGGGUGCGUAGGCGGAUAGGUAAGUCCGUGGUGAAAUCCUGCAGCUUAACUGCAGAACUGCCGUGGAUACUAUUUAUCUUGAAUAUCGUGGAGGUUAGCAGAAUAUGUCAUGUAGCGGUGAAAUGCUUAGAUAUGACAUAGAAUACCCAUUGCGAAGGCAGCUAACUACGCGAUCAUUGACGCUGAUGCACGAAAGCGUGGGGAUCAAACAGGAUUAGAUACCCUGGUAGUCCACGCCCUAAACGAUGAUUACUCGACAUUGGCGAUACACAGUCAGUGUCUGAGCGAAAGCAUUAAGUAAUCCACCUGGGAAGUACGAUCGCAAGAUUGAAACUCAAAGGAAUUGGCGGGGGUCCGCACAAGCGGUGGAGCAUGUGGUUAAUUCGAUGAUACGCGAGGAACCUUACCUGGGCUAGAAUGCCAGUGGACUGUGGGUGAAAGCUCACUUCCCCGCAAGGGGCCGCUGGUAAGGUGCUGCAUGGCUGUCGUCAGCUCGUGCCGUGAGGUGUUGGGGUUAAGUCCCGCAACGAGCGCAACCCCCUAUCACUAGUUGCCAUCAGGUAACCGCUGGGAACUCUAGUGAAACUGCCGUCGUAAGACGUGAGGAAGGAGGGGAUGAUGUCAAGUCAUCAUGGCCUUUAUGGCCCAGGGCUACACACGUGCUACAAUGGUAACUACAAAGGGCUGCCACUUGGCGACAAGGAGCUAAUCCCAAAAAAGUUAUCCUCAGUUCAGAUUGCAGUCUGCAACUCGACUGCAUGAAGCUGGAAUCGCUAGUAAUCGUAUAUCAGCCAAUGAUACGGUGAAUACUGUUCCCGGACCCUUGUACACACUGCCCGUCAAGCCAUGAAAGCCGGGGGGGACCUGAAGUCGGUAACCGCAAGGAACCGCCUAGGGUAAAAUCGGUAAUUGGGGCU
rnacentral:rRNA from 1 species